GAUGAACGCUGGCGGCGUGCCUAAUACAUGCAAGUCGAGCGAACAGACGAGGAGCUUGCUCCUCUGACGUUAGCGGCGGACGGGUGAGUAACACGUGGAUAACCUACCUAUAAGACUGGGAUAACUUCGGGAAACCGGAGCUAAUACCGGAUAAUAUAUUGAACCGCAUGGUUCAAUAGUGAAAGACGGGUUUGCUGGCACUUAUAGAUGGAUCCGCGCCGCAUUAGCUAGUUGGUAAGGUAACGGCUUACCAAGGCAACGAUGCGUAGCCGACCUGAGAGGAUGAUCGGCCACACUGGAACUGAGACACGGUCCAGACUCCUACGGGAGGCAGCAGUAGGGAAUCUUCCGCAAUGGGCGAAAGCCUGACGGAGCAACGCCGCGUGAGUGAUGAAGGUCUUCGGAUCGUAAAACUCUGUUAUUAGGGAAGAACAAAUGUGUAAGUAACUAUGCACGUCUUGACGGUACCUAAUCAGAAAGCCACGGCUAACUACGUG
rnacentral:rRNA from 1 species